AGGGUUAUAGUUAAUCAUAACAUUUAUUUUGCAUUUAAAAAGUAUUGAAUUUUUCAAUUUACCUUA
rnacentral:tRNA from 1 species